rnacentral:rRNA from 1 species
GGUAAUACCAGCUCUCCGAGUGGUAGGGACGAUUAUUGGGCUUAAAGCGUCCGUAGCCGGCUUAGCAAGUCUCCUGUUAAAUUCAGCGACUCAAUCGUUGGGCCGCGGGAGAUACUGCUAGGCUAGGAGGCGGGAGAGGUCGACGGUAUUCUCGGGGUAGGGGUGAAAUCCUAUAAUCCCGGGAGGACCACCAGUGGCGAAGGCUGUCGGCUAGAACGCGCUCGACGGUGAGGGACGAAAGCUGGGGGAGCGAACCGGAUUAGAUACCCGGGUAGUCCCAGCUGUAAACGAUGCGGGCUAGGUGUUGGGGUGGCUACGAGCCACUUCAGUGCCGCAGGGAAGCCAUUAAGCCCGCCGCCUGGGGAGUACGGCCGCAAGGCUGAAACUUAAAGGAAUUGGCGGGGGAGCACCACAAGGCGUAAGCUCGAUCU